GCUUUCAACAUCCCCGUUCUGGAUUUGAGCUGUUUCAACAGGUGACGCCUGUGAAGCUGUCUCUUGCAGAGCUGAAAGC
rnacentral:sRNA from 1 species